AGUGAACGCUGGCAGUAGGCCUAACACAUGCAGGUCGAACGGCAGCACAGGAGAGCUUGCUCUCUGGGUGGCGAGUGGCGGACGGGUGAGGAAUACAUCGGAAUCUACUUUGUCGUGGGGGAUAACGCAGGGAAACUUGCGCUAAUACCGCAUACGACCUACGGGUGAAAGCAGGGGAUCUUCGGACCUUGCGCGAUUGAAUGAGCCGAUGUCGGAUUAGCUAGUUGGCGGGGUAAAGGCCCACCAAGGCGACGAUCCGUAGCCGGUCUGGGAGGAUGAUCAGCCACACUGGAACUGAGACACGGUCCAGACUCCUACGGGAGGCAGCAGUGGGGAAUAUUGGACAAUGGGCGCAAGCCUGAUCCAGCCAUACCGCGUGGGUGAAGAAGGCCUUCGGGUUGUAAAGCCCUUUUGUUGGGAAAGAAAAGCAGCCGGUUAAUACCCGGUUGUUCUGACGGUACCCAAAGAAUAAGCACCGGCUAACUUCGUGCCAGCCGCCGCGGUAA
rnacentral:rRNA from 1 species